AGAUCACAUUUUACUGAAUUGGUGAAAAUGAAACAGGAAGUUUAACAGAAUCUCUUCAAUGGUUGCUUUUCAUCCCAUUUCUGGAAACAUUCCUAGAAGAAAACAGCCCCGCAAAAGACCAGUAUUGAUUCAGUAUCAUUUGCAUUGUUCUGUCAGCAGAAAAUAAAUGGAGAGCUGAGCUAAGAGAUUAUAUCCUUCAUUGACUGAAGUUUCACCCAGAUAUGUUGGAUGUGUAACAGUUCUGGCAAAUCCCUCUCUCUGGUGGUGAAAACAAGUUCUCAAACAGUUUUGGUUAGAGGCUAGUUAAAUCACUAGUUAGAGCAUAGUGGAAUAUCAGGAGUAUGAGAUGACUUACUUUAUUUGAGUUCCUUUCCUAUAUGGAAUUUAGAUCUAGGAUCCUUCCCUCAAUCCUUCUUAGGCACCACAGAUCCGCAAAAUUUUGAUAAUGAUAGUGGGCUGACAAAGACCUGUCAAAGCAGGUGAGACAAUUCAGUAACUUUUGUUUACAGUAGAAGCAAACUUUAUGGCAUUACAGAAAAAACUUACUAUAGCUGGUAGAGCAAGGUGUAGUUUCAAAUAAAGAUUGAAUUGUUGACGAUAUUACAGGUCUUGAAAUAAAGUUAAGAAAAUGUG